rnacentral:rRNA from 1 species
GACGAACGCUGGCGGCGUGCUUAACACAUGCAGGUCGAGCGAUGAAGUUCUUUUGGGAAUGGAUUAGCGGCGGACGGGUGAGUAACACGUGGGUAACCUGCCUCAUAAAGGGGAAUAGCCUUCCGAAAGGAAGAUUAAUACCGCAUAAGAUUGUAGUUUCGCAUGAAACAGCAAUUAAAGGAGCAAUCCGCUAUGAGAUGGACCCGCGUCGCAUUAGCUAGUUGGUGAGGUAACGGCUCACCAAGGCGACGAUGCGUAGCCGACCUGAGAGGGUGAUCGGCCACAUUGGGACUGAGACACGGCCCAGACUCCUACGGGAGGCAGCAGUGGGGAAUAUUGCACAAUGGGGGAAACCCUGAUGCAGCAACGCCGCGUGAGUGAUGACGGUCUUCGGAUUGUAAAACUUUGUCUUCAGGGACGAUAAUGACGGUACCUGAGGAGGAAGCCACGGCUAACUACGUGCCAGCAGCCGCCGUA